UACGGAGGGGGCUAGCGUUGUUCGGAGUUACUGGGCGUAAAGGGUGCGUAGGCGGCUUCUUAAGUCUGGUGUGAAAUCUCCCGGCUCAACUGGGAGGGUGCGCCGGAUACUGAGGGGCUAGAGUGUGGGAGAGGAAAGUGGAAUUCCUGGUGUAGCGGUGAAAUGCGUAGAUAUCAGGAGGAACACCGGUGGCGAAGGCGGGUCUCUGGGCCGUAACUGACGCUGAGGAGCGAAAGCGUGGGGAGCGAACAGG
rnacentral:rRNA from 1 species